UACGUAGGUGGCAAGCGUUGUCCGGAAUUAUUGGGCGUAAAGCGCGCGCAGGCGGUCCUUUAAGUCUGAUGUGAAAGCCCACGGCUCAACCGUGGAGGGUCAUUGGAAACUGGGAGACUUGAGUGCAGAAGAGAAGAGCGGAAUUCCACGUGUAGCGGUGAAAUGCGUAGAGAUGUGGAGGAACACCAGUGGCGAAGGCGGCUUUCUGGUCUGUAACUGACGCUGAGGCGCGAAAGCGUGGGGAGCAAACAGG
rnacentral:rRNA from 1 species